AUUGAACGCUGGCGGCAUGCCUUACACAUGCAAGUCGAGCGCGAAAGGGGGCAACCCCGAGUAGAGCGGCGGACGGGUGAGUAACGCAUCGGAACGUGCCCAGUAGUGGGGGACAACCUCGAGAAAUCGAGGCUAAUACCGCAUACGACCCACGGGUGAAAGCGGGGACCGCAAGGCCUCGCGCUAUUGGAGCGGCCGAUGUCCGAUUAGCUAGUUGGCGGGGUAAGAGCCCGACCAAGGCGACGAUCGGUAGCUGGUCUGAGAGGACGACCAGCC
rnacentral:rRNA from 1 species